rnacentral:lncRNA from 1 species
UUUGAUACACAAUAGAAGGAUAUGAUAGAUCGAUCUUUUUUAGUUUUUAGAUAGUAAAUAGAAUUCCUCCAUUCUAUUUUAUUCACUGGUACUGAUCAUUGAUACUGACAAAAGAGUUUCCUUUCUUUUGUCUCAUCCAUGAUCUAACCUGAACGAGUCGCACAUACACCCUAGUACACGUUCCUCAACGCUGAGGACAUC